AGUGAACGCUGGCGGUAGGCCUAACACAUUCAAGUCGAACGGCAGCACAGUAAGAGCUUGCUCUUACGGGUGGCGAGUGGCGGACGGGUGAGGAAUACAUCGGAAUCUACUUUUUCGUGGGGGAUAACGUAGGGAAACUUACGCUAAUACCGCAUACGACCUACGGGUGAAAGCAAGGGAUCUUCGGACCUUGCGCGAUUGAAUGAGCCGAUGUCGGAUUAGCUAGUUGGCGGGGUAAAGGCCCACCAAGGCGACGAUCCGUAGCUGGUCUGAGAGGAUGAUCAGCCACACUGGAACUGAGACACGGUCCAGACUCCUACGGGAGGCAGCAGUGGGGAAUAUUGGACAAUGGGCGCAAGCCUGAUCCAGCCAUACCGCGUGGGUGAAGAAGGCCUUCGGGUUGUAAAGCCCUUUUGUUGGGAAAGAAAAGCAGCAGGUUAAUACCCCGCUGUUCUGACGGUACCCAAAGAAUAAGCACCGGCUAACUUCGUG
rnacentral:rRNA from 1 species